rnacentral:hammerhead_ribozyme from 1 species
GCAUGGCUGAGGAGUCCUACAAUAGGACGAAACGUAUGUCCUGUGG